rnacentral:rRNA from 1 species
AGUGAACGCUGGCGGUAGGCCUAACACAUGCAAGUCGAACGGCAGCACAGGAGAGCUUGCUCUCUGGGUGGCGAGUGGCGGACGGGUGAGGAAUACAUCGGACUCUACUUUUUCGUGGGGGAUAACGUAGGGAAACUUACGCUAAUACCUCAUACGACCUACGGGUGAAAGCAGGGGACCUUCGGGCCUUUCGGGAUUGAAUUAGCCGAUGUCGGAUUAGCUAGUUGGCGGGGUAAAGGCCCACCAAGGCGACGAGCCGUAGCUGGUCUGAGAGGAUGAUCAGCCACACUGGAACUGAGACACGGUCCAGACUCCUACGGGAGGCAGCAGUGGGGAAUAUUGGACAAGGGGCGCAAGCCUGAUCCAGCCAUACCGCGUGGGUGAAGAAGGCCUUCGGGUUGUAAAGCCCUUUUGUUGGGAAAGAAAUCCAGCUGGCUAAUACCCGGUUGGGAUGACGGUACCCAAAGAAUAAGCACCGGCUAACUUCGUGCCAGCCGCCGCCGUAA